GAAAUCGUAAAGUUCCGUGUACAGUUAUGGUUUGUGUUAUGGUAGACAGUGCUAAUAAUAUUUAAGAAAAUUCUCUCUGCUUGCAUAAUGCCUUGGUUUGCUAUGCAAAGUAGUAGUGAUGUGUGAUAUGUCGCAUCUAACAAAGCCAUAAGGAAGUUGGUGAUGAAGGAUCUAACCACCAUCGAAUGUGUCGGCUGCUAUCCGAGCCAUGUAUACGACAAACCCGGACUAAUGCAUCGGUGUAGGCUUGGGAUUGUAGCAGUUGUACCUACAGAAGUGGCAGAAAGCAAAGCUAAAAUUAUAUUGAAGCUUUCAUCAAGACAAACAAUAAAGUGGCAAAGGAUAAUUUGGUUUUAGUUUCUGUUGAAUGAUGGUUUUAUGAUGUAUCAAACAUUGAUGGAGUCAUCUGUCGGAGAAAACAAUCAUGCCAUAUGCGACGCCGGCGGCUGGACGUACAUGGCACACAAUCCUUCGUCCUCCUACCUCAACCUGGGAUAAGUUGUCCUUGACGGCGACCUUGACAUUUCGAACCCAUCUACAUGUUAAUUAUGAGGAAUUGGUGCUCCAUUAUCUCCUCAUGUCACUUAUGUGGGUGGCGAGGAGAUCAGCGAGAUGUCUCGCGCCACCGGUGCACGAUGGCAAGAUGGUGGGGCCUUUUGGCGUUCUUGCAAUCCGGUUUCCUCGGCGACCUUGACAUAUUGAACCCAUCUACAGAUGAUUAAAUUUAUUCAAUGUGCAAAGUUUAUUAACAAUGAUCUGAAUAUGUAUCAUGCGGAGAGCAACACCCCAGCUUUGGCCCGUACAUCUAAUCUGAAUGAGGAGCUUGGGCAGAUUAUUCUAGCACCUACAGCGACAGUGGUAGAAAAAGCAUCGGAAUAUUUCCUGAUGUCCAUGGCCCAGCAGUUGCACCUCCCUUUACUUCCGCAACCUUGCCAACGGAGUCACGAUGCAUGACCGGGGUUGCAUUCUUAUGUUUGUCGGCAUUGUCAUCAGUCCAUAAGGCCAUGGGAUAAUUAAGCAUCAGGUUGAAAAGGUGAUUAGCUUUUUGUGCCUUCGAGUCAAAUUGCUAAGCUCUGAAGUGUUCUGUACGUAUAUGAGAGGAUUAAUAUUGAUUAGUUGGUCUUACAUUCAACAGGUAAAAUAAAAUGGUGACGUCAUGUAUCAAAUAUAUCUGUAUCCAAUUUUUUUGUAUUUACAGGAUUUAUUACUUUAAUAUAUUAAGGGCCGAUGAUUAAGUCCUUUGUUCUUUUAAGUAUUAGCAAAAUUUUGGUGACGUCAUGCCACAUGUCCAUGAAUCAAAAUAGAAACCUUAGGGCCAAAUUCGUGUCUCCAUUUCACGAAUUGUGCCUGUGACGCAACGGGUCAUUUCAGUAGGAUUACAACAAUG